UUGGUCGCGUUCACCAGAAUAAUCCGAGUGCAAUCCGAUUAAUUUGCGCUGAAACGCUGACAGUUUUUUUACUAGUGAACGACUGACGUUUGACAUUCGAUUGAGAGUGUUCUGUGUUCCAUUUGUUUAUGUUUUUAUUCUUUGUUUAUAUAAUUUAUAACCUAAACCUAGACAGUUUUGUUUUUAUUUUAAAUAAAACUGAAACUGUCUAAACUAAAAUGGAUAAUAUUCUUGAAGAACUUUUGUUUGGGGACGAAAUUAGCAAAUGCCGUUAUACAUUUAGCAGAUGUACCUACCUCAAAUUAUUCCAGAAGGAUGAGAUGAAAUUAAAUAUAUAUAAACCAUAAUUCAAUAUCCAAUUUAGAGAACAUUUUCGUAUGUCCAGAACUACUUUCCAGGAACUAUUUAAUUGUAUUGGUCAUAUCCACCAAUUUGAAAACAGAAUAAUUCUAUUGGAAAAAAUUAAUGUUUAUGAUGUGGAUGCUAAGUAAACCAGAUAAUUUGUUGCUGGGGAUACGUUUGAUUUGCCAAAGAGCUCUGGACAUAAGAUUUUCACCCAAAUAAUAUAGAAUUACAAAAAAUUGGAAAUAACUAAUCUUGAAUAUCAAUGUGUAUAUUGAGUUUAAUUUUAUUGUAAAUAUUCUAUAAUAUAAUUUUAUUGUAAAUAUUGUAUUAACACAUUUGUGGACACAUUUUCAUAUGCAGACAGUAAUUUCCCUUUGUAAGUACAUGCAUAUAUAGUCGUAUCUGCGAAUGGGUUAAUUGUAAAUCGUAAUCAAUAAAAAUUUUUUGUGAAUCAAUAAAAAACUGGUUUGUUUGAAAAUAAAUGUAGUACAAAUGUG